CUCACCCUGCAGAUGACAAACUACAUCUCAUCAUUGAAAACUCCAUGCUUGAGAAGUUAAAUCAUUUGUAUCAUAUAUUUGGUUGAAUUCGUUUCAAUAGCCAGAUUUUACCCAUCAAGAUGGUACUACCUUUAACUAGCCUGUUGAGGAUUACACAAUGCAUCUUAAUAUUUGCCAUCUCAGGUUCCAUGUCAGUGCCCUACUCAGUCACUCCAGCAGGUAUGAGCACCACCCCAACAAACAAAAUGGUAUUCCAGAUGGACAUAAAGAUCACCAAUCGGGUCUUCAAUGACUCCCUAUUGAAUCCCAAUUCCGAGGACUACAAGAAAAUGUAUGACGAGGUCAGCCAACUGCUUGCUGAUGUCUACAAGUCUUCUACAUCCGGAACAGCAUCCACUUAUGAGGGCGUUGCAACAAUGACUUUCAGAAAUGGAUCAGUGAUCGCAAACGCUGACAUAGUUUUCAACACAAUGUCUAUCAAUGGAUUUGUGGUCAAGUUUGAAUUCCUGAAUUAUAUCGAUGCCAAUCCUUCUGCCCUUCUCCAGAUAAAUGCAAAUUCUAUUGAAUGUUCCAUGUCAGUGCCCUACUCAGUCACUCCAGCAGGUAUGAGCACCACCCCAACAAACAAAAUGGUAUUCCAGAUGGACAUAAAGAUCACCAAUCGGGUCUUCAAUGACUCCCUAUUGAAUCCCAAUUCCGAGGACUACAAGAAAAUGUAUGACGAGGUCAGCCAACUGCUUGCUGAUGUCUACAAGUCUUCUACAUCCGGAACAGCAUCCACUUAUGAGGGCGUUGCAACAAUGACUUUCAGAAAUGGAUCAGUGAUCGCAAACGCUGACAUAGUUUUCAACACAAUGUCUAUCAAUGGAUUUGUGGUCAAGUUUGAAUUCCUGAAUUAUAUCGAUGCCAAUCCUUCUGCCCUUCUCCAGAUAGAUACAAAUUAUAUUGAGUGUAUGUACAUAGUGAACCUCUGAGCAGGAAGAUGUGGAGGUUACAAACCAACAGGUACCUAAACACAGCUCCUGAUUGGUGGUUUUAACAGACCCUCAAUGCAAACUCUUGUCUGCAGAACAAGAUCUGACAAAGAUGAGCUACAAGCAAAACCAAGUCACAGCCUCUGUAGAUUCUGUAUAGUUUGUCAGGAAUUUAGCAUGUUAUAUUGGAUGAAAAUGAUUGGAAUGAGUGAUUUCAUACGUUUGUAUUUAUUCCACAAAUUUUGCGCAUAAAUAUUGGGCAACCUUGCUAGUACUUUUGUAUUGUAUCUGAUGUCAUCAUAUUUGACCGUGUUAUGAACACAACCAGCGUCAAGCUGAUAUCAUUUUUCAGUCUGUUAUAUUCUGAUUUUUCAUUGGCACAAAUAUCUCAGAUGUUUUGCGUUGCAUCAUGUUCAACUGCUCAAUUGUAUAAUGCUAAAGAUGAAUGUUAAAUCAAAUAUGAAAAUCAAAGAGUUCCUUAAUUGGGCAGAUAUUUCAAUUUGGAGUUUACAGUAAUGAUGUAUACAAGCUCUGGAUUGCUAAUGGUAUGUAUUGGCCAUUGACAGGCUUUGAAGACACCAGUCGGCCAUUUUGGCACUCCCCAGUAGGAGCAGUCCUUCACAAGAGUACAUUGAAUUCUACAGUAUUUCAAUGAAAUAUUUCAAGGACAAAAUGACAUGUAUUUAAAUAUUUGUUUAUUGUUGGGACAGUAAAAUUCAUCUAAAAAAAACUAUACUGUAAGGAAACGUUUUAAUAUGAUUUUUAUUUGUAUGUUUAGCUCACAUAAUACAAUGUAAAAGUGUGCAAUAUAAUACAUGUGGCUAAAACAAAUGUAGAAAUAAAAAUGAUAAUUUCUAUAGCUUCCAAAAUAAUGGUGAGGGAGUGCCAAGAUGGAGGCAUGGUGGCUUCAAUAGAGCCCCCCAAAUAGUAAUCUAGUUUAUAUAUAAAUCAUUGGCUAACAACAUGUGCAAUAAUAAUGUGACAUCUUGUGAAAUGGAAAUAGAUGGAUGUCUGAAUCCUAACUUGACUUGAGUGCCCAUUGAUGUCAAUGGACGAUUUUUAAAAAAUAACUCCAGUUACACGCACAGAUCUCAAGUUAGGAUUUGGGACUUGAGCAUUACACACGUAAAUAGGAGUAUAUUUCUGAGUUUUGAGUUUGUAUCACAUCAUACAAUUUAAUGGAAGACUUGUAAAUAAAUGUUGAGAAUCAAGAA